UUCACAGACAAAGUGGUGGCUGCGAUGGACGUCCCCUUGUAAGAAUGCACAAGGAAGGCAGCCAUCAGAGUGGAAUGGAGGCGCAUUGUUAAGCGUGCACUGCAGUGACAACCACGACUGCUUUGUCAAGAGCG